rnacentral:rRNA from 1 species
GAUGAACGCUGGCGGUAUGCCUAACACAUGCAAGUCGAACGGAGUUCUUAGGAACUUAGUGGCGGACGGGUGAGUAACGCGUGAGAAUCUGCCUUCAGGAUGGGGAUAACAGUGGGAAACGACUGCUAAAACCCAAUGUGCCGAGAGGUGAAAUACUUGUAGCCUGAAGAGGAGCUCGCGUCCGAUUAGUUAGUUGGUGGGGUAAGAGCCUACCAAGGCAGCGAUCGGUAGCUGGUCUGAGAGGAUGAGCAGCCACACUGGGACUGAGACACGGCCCAGACUCCUACGGGAGGCAGCAGUGGGGAAUUUUCCGCAAUGGGCGAAAGCCUGACGGAGCAAUACCGCGUGAGGGAGGAAGGCUUUUGGGUUGUAAACCUCUUUUAUAAAGGAAGAAGAAAGUGACGGUACUUUAAGAAUAAGCAUCGGCUAACUCCGUGCCAGCCGCCGCGGUAAGAC